rnacentral:rRNA from 1 species
CCUACGGGAGGCAGCAGUGAGGAAUAUUGGUCAAUGGACGAGAGCCUGAACCAGCCAAGUAGCGUGAAGGAAGACUGCCCUAUGGGUUGUAAACUUCUUUUGUAGGGGAGUAAAACGAGGCACGUGUGCCUUUUUGCAUGUACUUUAUGAAUAAGAAUCGGCUCACUCCGUGCCAGCAGCCGCGGUAAUACGGAGGAUCCGAGCGUUAUCCGGAUUUAGUGGGUUUAAAGGGAGCGUAGAUGGGUUGUUAAGGCAGGUGUGAAAGUUUGCGGCUCAAACGUAAGACUGCAAUUGAUACUGGCAGUCUUGAGUGCAGGUGAGGUAGGCGGAAUUCGUGGUGUAGCGGUGAAAUGCUUAGAUAUCACGAAGAACCCCGAUUGCGAAGGCAGCUUACUAAACUGUGACUGACAUUGAUGCUCGAAAGUGUGGGGAUCAAACAGGAUUAGAUACCCCUGUAGUC